GCCAGCAGCCAUAUCCCCCUGCAACUCACAACUGGCAACCCACUGAAGCUCAGCAGGUGUGAGCCUGGUCAGUACCUGGAUGGGAGACCACCUGGAAAAAAUUAAGUUGCUGCUGGAA
rnacentral:rRNA from 1 species